rnacentral:rRNA from 1 species
AACGAACGCUGGCGGCAGGCUUAACACAUGCAAGUCGAACGCCCCGCAAGGGGAGUGGCAGACGGGUGAGUAACGCGUGGGAACAUACCCUUUUCUACGGAAUAGCUCUGGGAAACUGGAAUUAAUACCGUAUACGCCCUACGGGGGAAAGAUUUAUCGGGGAAGGAUUGGCCCGCGUUGGAUUAGCUAGUUGGUGGGGUAAAGGCCUACCAAGGCGACGAUCCAUAGCUGGUCUGAGAGGAUGAUCAGCCACAUUGGGACUGAGACACGGCCCAAACUCCUACGGGAGGCAGCAGUGGGGAAUAUUGGACAAUGGGCGCAAGCCUGAUCCAGCCAUGCCGCGUGAGUGAUGAAGGCUUUAGGGUUGUAAAGCUCUUUCACCGAUGAAGAUAAUGACGGUAGUCGGAGAAGAAGCCCCGGCUAACUUCGUG